rnacentral:rRNA from 1 species
UGGGGAAUUUUGGACAAUGGGCGAAAGCCUGAUCCAGCAAUGCCGCGUGUGUGAAGAAGGCCUUCGGGUUGUAAAGCACUUUUGUCCGGAAAGAAAUCCUCUGGGUUAAUACCUCGGGGGGAUGACGGUACCGGAAGAAUAAGCACCGGCUAACUACGUGCCAGCAGCCGCGGUAAUACGUAGGGGUGCAAGCGUUAAUCGGAAUUACUGGGCGUAAAGCGUGCGCAGGCGGUUUUGUAAGACGGAUGUGAAAUCCCCGGGCUUAACCUGGGAACUGCAUUCGUGACUGCAAGGCUAGAGUAUGGCAGAGGGGGGUUAGAACUCCACGUGUAGCAGUGAAAUGCGUAGAGAUGUGGAGGAAUACCGAUGGCGAAGGCAGCCCCCUGGGCCAAUACUGACGCUCAUGCACGAAAGCGUGGGGAGCAAACAGGAUUAGAUACCCUGGUAGUCCACGCCCUAAACGAUGUCAACUAGUUGUUGGGGAUUCAUUUCCUUAGUAACGUAGCUAACGCGUGAAGUUGACCGCCUGGGG